rnacentral:rRNA from 1 species
CCUACGGGUGGCAGCAGUGGGGAAUAUUGGGCAAUGGAGGCAACGCUGAACCAGCAACGCCGCGUGAGUGAUGAAGGUCUUCGGAUUGUAAAGCUCUUUAAGCGGGGACGAAGAAAGUGACUGUACCCGCAGAAUAAGCCUCCGCUAACUAAGGGCCAGCAGCCGCGGUAAUACGUAGGAGGCAAGCGUUAUCCGGAAUGACUGGGGGUAAAGGGUGCGUAGGUGGUUUGGCAAGGUGGGAGCGAAAUCCCGGGGGUUAACCUCGGUGCUGCUACCAAAACUGUUGAACUUGAGUGCAGGAGAGGUAAGUGGAAGGCGCAGGGUAGCGGUGAAAUGCGUAGAUAUUGGGAAGAACACCAGGGGCGAAGGCGGUUCACUGGACUGUAACUGACGCUGAGGCACGAAAGCGUGGGGAGCAAACAGGAUUAGAUACCCUGGUAGUC